AGAGUUUGAUCAUGGCUCAGGAUGAACGCUGGCGGCGUGCCUAAUACAUGCAAGUCGAGCGGAAAGGCCUCUUCGGAGGUACUCGAGCGGCGGACGGCAGAGUAACGCGUAGGAACAUACCCCAAACUGAGGGAUAACUGCCCGAAAGGGUGGCUAAUACCGCAUGUGAUCUUCGGAUUAAAGCUUCGGCGGUUUGGGAAUGGCCUGCGUUCGAUUAGCUAGUUGGUGAGGUAAAGGCUCACCAAGGCGACGAUCGAUAACUGGUCUGAGAGGAUGAUCAGUCUGACUGGAACUGAGACACGGUCCAGACUCCUACGGGAGGCGGCAGUAGGGAAUUUCCACAAUGGGCGAAAGCCUGAUGGAGCAACGCCGCGUGCAGGAUGAAGGCCCUUGGGUCGUAAACUGCUUUUAUGUGAGAAGAAUAUGACGGUAACACAUGAAUAAGGGUCGGCUAACUACGUG
rnacentral:rRNA from 1 species